rnacentral:rRNA from 1 species
AACGUAGGGGGCGAGCGUUGCCCGGAUUCACUGGGCGUAAAGCGGGUGUAGGCGGUCCGUUAAGUCGGAUGUGAAAGCUCUGGGCUUAACCCAGAAAUCGCAUCCGAUACUGGCGGACUUGAGGACGGUAGAGGUCGGUGGAAUUCCCGGUGUACCGGUGAAAUGGACAGAUAUCGGGAGGAACACCAGUGGCGAAGGCGGCCGACUGGGCCGAUCCUGACGCUGAGACGCGAAAGCCAGGGGAGCGAACCGG